rnacentral:rRNA from 1 species
CACGUAGGGUGCGAGCGUUGUCCGGAAUUAUUGGGCGUAAAGAGCUCGUAGGCGGUGUGUCGCGUCGGCCGUGAAAACUUGCAGCUUAACUGUGGGCGUGCGGUCGAUACGGGCAUCACUGGAGUUCGGUAGGGGAGACUGGAAUUCCUGGUGUAGCGGUGAAAUGCGCAGAUAUCAGGAGGAACACCGGUGGCGAAGGCGGGUCUCUGGGCCGUAACUGACGCUGAGGAGCGAAAGCGUGGGGAGCGAACAGG